rnacentral:rRNA from 1 species
GAUGAACGCUGGCGGCGUGCCUAAUACAUGCAAGUCGAGCGAACGGACGAGAAGCUUGCUCUUCUGAUGUUAGCGGCGGACGGGUGAGUAACACGUGGAUAACCUACCUAUAAGACUGGGAUAACUUCGGGAAACCGGAGCUAAUACCGGAUAAUAUUUUGAACCGCAUGGUUCAAAAGUGAAAGACGGUUUUGCUGUCACUUAUAGAUGGAUCCGCGCUGCAUUAGCUAGUUGGUAAGGUAACGGCUUACCAAGGCAACGAUGCAUAGCCGACCUGAGAGGGUGAUCGGCCACACUGGAACUGAGACACGGUCCAGACUCCUACGGGAGGCAGCAGUAGGGAAUCUUCCGCAAUGGGCGAAAGCCUGACGGAGCAACGCCGCGUGAGUGAUGAAGGUCUUCGGAUCGUAAAACUCUGUUAUUAGGGAAGAACAUAUGUGUAAGUAACUAUGCACGUCUUGACGGUACCUAAUCAGAAAGCCACGGCUAACUACGUG